rnacentral:rRNA from 1 species
AUGGUAGUGGCGAUAGUAGUGUCAACCGUGCUCUUGUUAUUGGGUACGUAUAUUCAUUCUUUUGUGCUCUCUGUCUUCUUCCAUGACAGUAUGGCGAUGAAGUAGCGAUUAGACAAUCCGCCUUGCAAUGGGCGUGGUCCCGACCAUAGUGUGUUCAACGAUCUUAAGUUCUCACCUGUUGGGGUGGGUAGCUCAUGUGGCCAUUCGACACCUUUGGGGUUAGUCCAACUUGUGCAAAAUUGGUCUUCUUCGGUUUCUUCACCAGAUGGAUGA